rnacentral:rRNA from 1 species
CCCAAAUCGGGCGGUAAAUUCCGUCCAAGGCUAAAUAUUGGCGAGAGACCGAUAGCAAACAAGUACCGCGAGGGAAAGAUGAAAAGGACUUUGAGAAAAGAGUCAAAGAGUACUUGAAAUUGUCGGGAGGGAAGCGGAUGGGGGCCGGCGGUGCGCCUUGGUCGGAUGUGGAACGGCGUCUAGCCGGUCUGCCAAUCGACUCAGGGCGUGGACCGACGCGGAUUGUAGUGGUGGCCCAAGCCUGAGCCUUUGUUGUGCUUGUGGAGACGUCAUCGCCGCGAUCGUGGCUGGCAGCGCGCGCCUCUGGCGUGCUUCGGCAUCAGCGCGCUCCGGGCGUCGGCCUGCGGGCUCCCCAUUCGGCCCGUCUUGAAACACGGACCAAGGAGUCUGACAUGUGUGCGAGUCAACGGGCCAGUAAACCCGUGAGGCGCAAGGAAGCUGACUGGCGGGAUCCCCUUGCGGGUUGCACCGCCGACCGACCUUGAUCUUUUGAGAAGGGUUCGAGUGUGAGCAUGCCUGUCGGGACCCGAAAGAUGGUGAACUAUGCCUGAGCGG